GGGAUCUGACGAACUAUACCAAAUUAAGGAUCUUUCAUCAGUGUUUUCGGAAAUCGGCCGAAAUCCUAGGCCUAUGAACAAUUAAAAAUAUCCUACUGUUAGUCAUUAUAUAAUAAUGAUAUUCGCGGUACUUUCUCAAAUGGAUAUGAAAAAGAUUUAUUUGCAAAAGUGAUAUUGUAUGGAGAAGACCAUGCUAGUAAUCACUUUUUUGUAAGUGGAAGAUUUAUGGAAAUUUCAAGGUCAGCAUUAGCUUUUUGAAUUAUACGUGAAUAACAUAAAGUUAAAUAUAUCAUUUUGUUUUAUACGAUCGAUGCGUUUGUUAUGCAUGUACUUACUAUCUUUGAUUAUCGAAAUUAGUGUUCGAUUUUCAUGCAAGCGACCAGCAUGAUAUAAGGAAUAACGAGCUGAUUUUCACUUUUAUGAAGUAUACUUAUAUUUUUCAAAUAUAUAGUAGAGAAUAUAUAAAUUUACCUGGAUUAGUUCCUAUUAUACUUUCCUCCAGAAUCCACCUUGGUUUUUCAUAACUUAGUGUAGCUAACAGUCCUUUCAUGCAAAUAGCAAAGAGCAAGGCCAACACGCUGAAGAAGCAAGCAUAGAAUGCUCCAGUGAUGGCUGGAAUAAAAACGAUUGUUUUAUAUUAUUGUACUCAAUAAAUUAAGGAAGAAGUUUCAGCUAUUUCUAUUCCACUUUAUUACUAAAUACUUUGUACGUGAAAAUAAUUUACCAUUAUGUCCUAGGUUACUUGGUGCAAUAGACGCAACUUGUAUGAAUGAAAUAUGCAAAUUAUUUCAAAUAAUUUUAGCUUUUCAUUUUGCGUAAUACAGCCUUAAUAGUUAUAAAAGCACGUGGCCUCGAAAAUUUUCAUGAUUUCAACGAUUGAAAGGAAAAUAUUUAAAGCGUGGGCACUGUGCCAAAGUCUGAUCUAAAUAUAGUUCCUUUUUUAAGAGUAGUAUACGCCACUGUGAUGGUUACUUCUGCUUCUUGUUCUUGAUCGCGAACAAUUUCUAAACGUAUAUUCAUUUUCUAUAUAUAUAUAUAUAUAUAUAAUUAAAGUUGAUAGUACUCGAAUAUUAAUUAAACGGCAGAAAUUAAAUUGAUUACAUUUUAUCGCUAUAGAUAAAACUGACUAUAUUUAAUUAAUAUACUAUUGUUUCACUAGCAUUCUAUUGCUAAAAUGAAAUAUCAGAAAUUAAAGUAAAGUAGAACAAUACUGCGUCUGAAAAUAGUGUGGCAAGUGUAGAUAUAAUAAUUAUAGGCUCAGAAAUCCAUAUUUAUCACAGUGGCUCAACCUGUUCUACAGGAUACGGAAUAAUCAUUGUGUGUGUACACUGCAUACAUAUAAUGAAACAUUUACAGAUUCAAAACACGUUUCUUGUUUCGGUUGAAUGACACGAAAUGGGCAAAAACCUGAUUGCAACGUUUUACUAAUUGUUAAAAAUAUUGGCAUAUCCAGGCAAUUUGUAUUUUACGUAAAUUUUAUACUUUAUUGAUAGACGUAAUAUGUAGGCAAGAAAAUACAUCGAUGUUAAAAUUGAUGUUAGCCUUACGUACAAUGACACACGAGAAAAACAGCCUUUCAAAUGUACUGUUUUGCAAUUCUUAUUUUCUGUUUUGAAUGGGAGAAUGAAGAAUAUUUUUUCGUCAACAUGUUCGCUAGUGGGUCUGUGCGUACGGUAACUAAGUAAAUUCGCAGUAAUUGCAGUAGUUAAAACUUCCUAUCUUUUUUUCCAUUUCCAGGGCUCAAUUUAUUAUUUGUCGACUGAGUCGCAAAAUUUAACGACACUGGGAACACGUGUGGCUAUUUACGCAUACGUGCUAACAACAUGAAAUACGAGUGUUUAAAAUUCAAAUUACUUCGGCCUUUAUUUUUCCUGUUCAUUUAUACAUCUGAUACAUUAAUAGGACAGGAAGAUUGUGGUUCAAACAUCAUUGCUUCAAGAUAGUUGAAAUAGUAAGAAUUAGGAUCGAAUAUUCUUUAUUUGACGUGAAAAUAAUACAAAAUAUAUCAAAUAAUUAUUUCGAAUAAAGUAAGAAAUAUAUUUGAAGAUGAUAUUCUUUGCAAAUAAAUUCCAAAAUCUUAUCCGAGAAAUAAAUUAUUUUACAAUAUGAUUUUUUGUAACAGGUAUUAUAAGUAUCGCAUUAUAUGCUCUUACCGCAUUAGAAGAGAUUAGAAGCAUUAAUAUCAAUAAAUCGUGACAGAAGUUACUUCCGCUCUAAUAAAUCUUAUUCUUUCUUCUU